CCGGGGCCAUUGCUCACAAAGGCCGCGCUAACAGGAAAGAGAACUUAGGCCCGGAGAAGGCCGCGAGCGGGCCCCGGAAAGGCUGCCCUGAACUAACAUCCAGCUCCGCGCCGUCGCCGGCGGUGCGUGGCCAGGAUCAGAGCGCCGGGAGCCCGCGGCGGCAGUCGCCCAGUAAACCACAACUCCCGAGAGGCCCUGCGCACCGAGGGGCGCAGACCCCGACUCUCGCGGGAAGGCGGGAGCGCGAGCUCGCGGGCGUGGGCGGGGCCGGAAAGAGGCGCAUUUCAAAGCGGUAAUAGAUGGUUUUCUUAUCCAAUAGGAUUGGAAAACAUACCUCCUGGACCGGUAGACCGCGGGAGUCGAGGGACGACGGCCAAUGGGAGUGCGCGGGGGGUGGAGCCCAGGCCUCAGGAGCGGAAGUGGUAGCUGUUGAGGCGGCGGCGUCUUGCUUGAGGGUUACUCCUCCGUGGCUUCCGGGGGUGCUUCCUCGCCCGAGUGCGUCGGCGGCGGCUCCUGCCGCACCAGUCCCGCUCCCGAGAAAGCGCCGUGGUGGCACAGUAAAUUCUAGACAAGCCCAGAAGCGAACUCGGGAAGCAGCCUCCACUCCUGAGAUGGCCUUGGAAGCAGAACCCAUAGAACUUGUGGAAAGUGCUGGAGAUGAAAUAGUGGAUCUCACCUGUGAAUCGUUAGAGCCUGUGGUCGUUGACCUGACUCACAAUGACUCUGUCGUGACUCCUUUUAAUUUUGGCAUGAAUCAUAGAACACCACCCUACCCCGCUGGGGAUUAUUGUCUUCUGUGCAGAAGUGAGCGGAAAGACUCUUCGUUCUUAGAGAGUGGAAUUAAGACUGCGAGCAAAUUGGCCCUCUCCAUGGCUCCCAAGGGCAACAGCGUGCUGCACCUGCCACUGUGGGUGUGCCCGGACUGCCGGCGGACUGUGGAAAAGGAGGAGAGGCACAGCGGCCUCGACCAGCCAUCGCAGGGCCAAGACUUUCUUCUUCACUCCCCUCUUGGUGGGUCCCAGCCAGAGGCAGGCGGCGGGAGGCUAGCCCUCGGCGCGCAGACGCUGCCCUCGGCGGGGCUGGGCACUGCCCCCUCGGACGCCGCGUGCGCCUGCGAGGCCUGCAGCGAGCGCAGAGAGAUUUCGGCAGAGACGGACCGGGAACCUCAGCAGCUGCAGAACUGUUGGUCGGAAGUGCGCUACAUGGUCCGCUGCAUUUACCGCCAGGCGGGGACCCCGCUGGCCGACGACCAAGACCAGAGUCUCGUGCCCGACAAGGAGGGGGUGAAGGAGCUCGUGGAUAGGCUCUGUGAGAGGGACCCUUACCAGCUGUACCAGCGGUUGGAACAACAAGCCAGAGAGUAUGUACUGGAGAUGAAAGUCCGACUCCUCCGGCAGCUGUCGGCUGCAUCCAAAGUGAAAGCGCCGUCCGCCCUGCAGGGCCCUCCACAGGCACACCAGUUCAUCUCUCUCCUUCUCGAGGAGUAUGGCGCCCUCUGCCAGGCAGCACGCACCAUCAGCACCUUCCUUGGCACGCUGGAAAACGAACACUUGAAAAAGUUCCAGGUGACAUGGGAACUGCAUAAUAAGCAUCUGUUUGAAAAUCUGGUCUUUUCGGAGCCGCUUCUCCAGAGCAACUUGCCAGCACUCCUGUCGCAGAUCAGGCUGGGAACCACGACACACGACACGUGCAACGAGGACACAUACAGCACCUUGCUGCAGCGGUACCAGCAAUCCGAAGAGGAGUUGCGCAGGGUGGCCGAGGAGUGGCUGGAAUGCCAGCAAAGGAUCGAUGCCUACGUCGAUGAGCAGAUGACAAUGAAAACGAAACAGCGCAUGCUGACGGAGGACUGGGAGCUUUUCAAACAGAGGCGAUUCAUUGAAGAGCAGCUGACCAAUAAGAAAGCAGUCGCCGGCGAGAACAACUUCACAGACGCCAUGAGGCACAUGCUGUCCUCCCGGCUGAGCAUGCCCGACUGCCCCAACUGCAACUACAGGAGAAGAUGUGCUUGCGAUGACUGCAGCCUCUCACACAUCCUCACUUGUGGUGUCAUGGACCCCCCCGUCACUGGCGACAUCCACAGUCACCAGCUGCCCCUCCAAGUGGAUUCUGCUCCCGACUAUCUCUCUGAGAUGCGCCCACCUAGCGUGUCCUCAGCAAGCUCAGGGUCAGGUUCCAGCUCUCCCAUUACAAUUCAGCAACAUCCCAGACUCAUCCUCACAGACAAUGGCUCUGCACCAACUUUUUGUAGUGAUGAUGAAGACGUUGCGCCAUUGUCAGCUAAAUUUGCUGAUAUUUAUCCACUGAGUAACUACGAUGAUACUGAGGUGGUGGCCAAUAUGAAUGGAAUCCACAGCGAAUUGAAUGGUGGCGGGGAAAACAUGGCUCUGAAAGAUGAGUCCCCUCAGGUAAGCAGUACCAGUAGUAGUUCUUCAGAGGCUGAUGAUGAAGAGGCGGAUGGCGAGAGCAGUGGGGAGCCGCCAGGAGCCCCAAAGCAAGACGUAGCUCUAAGCAAUGGGAGUCCCAGGAAAGAGGAAAGUAAAGUGGACAGUCCACCCCCAUCUUACCCUACUCAGCAGCCUGAACAAGCUCCGAACACUUGUGAAUGUCAUGUUUGUAAACAGGAAGCUUCCGGACUCACGGCAUCAGCAAUGACCGCAGGAGCCCUUCCCCCGGGCCAUCAGUUCCUGAGCCCAGAGAAGCCCACCCACCCUGCUUUGCAUCUUUACCCUCACAUCCACGGACAUGUGCCUCUGCACGCGGUCCCACACCUGCCCCGUCCUCUCAUCCACCCCACCUUGUAUACGGCGCCCCCCUUCACACACAGUAAGGCUUUACCGCCAGCACCUGUUCAGAAUCACACAAAUAAGCAUCAGGUAUUCAAUGCAUCUCUUCAAGACCAUAUUUAUCCAAGCUGUUUUGGGAAUACUCCAGAGUGGAAUAGUUCUAAAUUUAUAAGUCUUUGGGGAUCAGAAGUGAUGAAUGAUAAGAACUGGAAUCCUGGCACUUUCUUGCCAGAUACAAUUUCUGGGAGUGACAUACUAGGACCAACACUCUCAGAAACGAGACCCGAAGCCCUUCCACCUCCGUCUAGCGGUGAAACGCCUGCAGUUUCCGAGAGCAAGGAGAAAAAAAACGCCGCAAAAAAGAAAUGCUUGUAUAAUUUCCAAGAUGCUUUCAUGGAAGCGAACAAAGUCGUGAUGGCCACGUCGUCAGCCACCUCCUCCGUGUCCUGCACGGCCACCACGGUGCAGUCCAGCAACAGCCAGUUCAAAGUGUCGUCCAAGAGGCCUCCUUCCAUAGGUGAGGUGUUCCACGGCGUCACCAAGGAGGACCACAGACACGCGGUGCCGGCCGCCCCGAGGAACAGCCCCACGGCCCUGGCGCCGCUUCCCGCCCUCGCCCCUGCCGCGCUCGCCCCGGCCUCCUCGCCUCACCUCGCGAGUCUCGCAGCCCCAUCCUUCCCCAACACUGCUGCCCCGUCCCCCGGGUUUGUGGAGCCACGCAAGAGCUUCUGUCCUGCUCCAGGAGCCCCCCCGCCCCCCACAACCGACGGCUCCAUCAGCGCUCCCCCCAGCGUCUGCAGUGACCCCGACUGUGAGGGCCACCGCUGCGAGAACGGCGUGUAUGACCCACAGCAGGACGACGGGGACGAGAGCGCCGACGAGGACAGCUGUUCUGAGCACAGCUCCAGCACGUCUACCUCCACCAACCAGAAGGAGGGCAAGUACUGUGACUGCUGCUACUGCGAGUUCUUCGGGCACGGCGGGCCUCCAGCUGCGCCGACAAGUAGAAAUUACGCAGAGAUGAGGGAGAAGCUUCGUUUGCGGCUGACCAAGAGGAAAGAAGAGCAGCCUAAAAAGGCGGACCAGCUCUCGGACAGAGAGAGUGUCGUUGACCAUCGAAGGGUGGAAGACUUGCUACAGUUCAUAAACAGCUCAGAGACCAAGCCCGUGAGCAGCACUCGAGCCGCCAAGCGAGCCAGACACAAGCAGAGGAAGCUGGAGGAGAAAGCUCGCCUGGAAGCAGAGGCCAGGGCCCGGGAGCACCUGCACCUCCGUGAGGAGCAGAGACGACAGGAGGAGGAGGAGGAGUUUCAGCGACUUCAAGAGCUUCAGAAGCUGAGGGCCGUGAAAAAGAAGAAGAAGGAGAGGCCAAGUAAAGACUGUCCCAAGUUGGACAUGCUUGCUAGAGACUUCCAGGCAGCAGCAGAGUCUGUACCUAACUCUGAAAACAUGCACAAUGGCUCACUAGAGCAAAUGGAAGAACCAGAAACCUCAUCUCACUCUCCUUCCAGACAUGGGGACCACACGGAACCCAGGCCAGGGCCGGGGGCUGACGGGGAUGCUGCCGGCCCCAUGGACGCCAGAGACUCCAAGCUCCUCCUCCCCAAGGAGGUCAGUGGGAAGCGGCAGGAGCCGCUGUCUUUUCUCCUUGACAUAAUGCAUCACCACAAGGAGGGGAAUGGCAAGCAGAAGCUCAAACAGACCAGCAAGGGCAGCAGCGAGCUGGUGAGGAAGCCGGCCGAGCCCCCCAAAGCCUCAGAGGGCCAGCCCAGACCCCGGCCCCAGACUGAGUCGAAGGCGAAAGUGCUUGACUUCACUUCCCUGGUGGAGCACAAAAGGGAGGACAGAAAAGUGAACAGUAACAACAAUAACAAAAAGCAGCUGAACCACGUCAAGGAAGAAAGGUUGAAUCCGGCCCCCCCAGAGCCUGCCUCCCCCAGCGAGCACCCUCAGGACAGCAAGCUGGUGCUGGCGGACUCUCCGCAGCCUAAGGGCAAGAGCAAGAAAAAUAGGAAGAAGAAAGGAGACCGAGUCAGCAGUUCAAUCGAUGAUGUUUUUCUGCCUAAAGAUAUCGACCUAGACAGCGUGGAUAUGGAUGAGACAGAGAGGGAAGUGGAGUAUUUCAAAAGAAGAAUAGGAAGAACGGACGGCUUUUCUUGCCCAUUACAAAGACGAUCAUGAAAACAUUGUGAUAUUCGUGCAGAAUCCGGAGCCCAGAAACAGACUAUACAAACGCUGAGCUUUGGUUUAUGACAAAAGACAGAUCGACAGUGGAAAUGAAGGUGGGGAAACCAAGGCCCAGGGUGCUUCUGCGGGACAUCCAGCUCCAGUGCUCCUGUCUUCACGGGUCCUAGACCUGGGCGCCGACCCCUGGGGGAGCCUCACAUAGACCACGCUGGAGUAUCACCUCCUUUACACGCGACAGGCGAAAUCGUCUGUCCUGGACCCACUAUUAAAACGUAAGCAUAAGCACCGAGGGGUGGGAGGCGAGGCGCACGAAGACCUCCCAUGCGGUUCCGAACUGUUAAGAACUCACGCUUGAAACCAACCAUGUGCCACCGGGAGCCUGCCGUACCCGGGAGCCCUCCAGAUGCUCUUCCGUGGGGAGGACGAGGUAGGUUAAGAGGAAGAGUCCGAAACGUGCGCCGGUGGCCCCCGUGAAGGAUGAACUGCCACGGAGACUGUCCCCCUGCCACACACAACUGUAAAACCGGGGAAGGUGUUUAAACAAUGCUUUUGGCUGUUGGAAGAGACACAGCACAUGGCAGUGUUUUCUGAGCGAAGGGGAGGAAACCAGGUAAGCCUCUUGGCGCCCCAGCUUCCAGCGUGGAGGCAGUUUCCAGGCCCAGCACGGGCUGGGGGCUGCAGAGCCCAGAGCCCAGCAGGCCUGCUGAGUAGAGCAAGCAGAGAUUGGCAUUUGGAGAGGUCAAGGUGGCUCGAAUUUGUGGGGCAGGGUUCCAGACAGGAGGGGCUGCACAUAAGGGGCUGUGGGGGUCUGCAGAGUCCCCUACAAUCUACUGAUGUUGCAGGUGUGGCAUGAACUUCCAGGAGCCCAAGGGAAAAUCACCAGAAAGCAGAACGGCUGGAGUAGUGUUUGCACCAGCCACAGUGGAGAACCUUCUAAUACACGCUGCAGACACCAGCGUAGAGUCCUCAGAAAGCUGUGACCUUAGCAGGGGGGUUAAAUUAGCUCUAGAGUAAAAUCUAAAAAGCAAGCCUCAGGAGGAUCACACUGAUCCUAAGUAUCUUAACUGCCUGCUAGGACAAAGUCCAACGUUCUUUAAAAGAAUACAAAAAUAUCCCACACUAAACAAAAUUCACAAUGUUGGAAUCCAAGCAGAAAUUACCAGGCCAUGCCAAGAGGAAGGAAAAUAUAAACCGUAAUCAGGAGAAAUACUAAACAAACAAUAGACCCCAAAAUGACAGUUGGUGAAUUUGCAGACAGGGACCUUAAAAUGGCUAAUGUAAGUCUUAAAAAUAUGCUCAAGAUGUAAGAGAAAUCAUGAACAAGAUGAAGGACGAAAUGAAAGAUCCAAAAAAGACCUAAGUGAAGUUCUAAAGAAAAAAUACAUCAUCCGAAAUGGAAAAAUACCCUGGAUAGAAUUAACAGCAGAUCUGAAACCUCUGAGGAAACACCACGAACUUGAUGGCAUCAGAACAGAAACUACCAGAAAGAAGCACUGAGAGAAGAGAGAAUGGAAAAUGGUAACCUGUGGGACGGUAUCAAGCAGUUCAACAUACAUGCAACUGGAGUCCUGCGGAAGUGGGGCACAAAAAAAUAUAUAAAAUGAGCUUGUCACAAGCUUGCUGGGAUAUGGAUGAGGCUGUGUUGAGCCUGUAGAUCAAUUUGGGACGAAGUGACAGCUUGAGACUAGAGUUCCCAGUUUGCAGAUGUGAUUUCUCUUCAUUUACAUGUUCUUGAAUUUCAGCAGUUAUUUUGUAGCUUUUAUUGUAGAGAUUCUGCAUGCUUCUGAUAAAUGUUUUCUAAGCAUUUUAGGUUUUUGACAUCGUAAACAGGGUUAUGCUUUAGUUUCCUGGAGCUCUCAUAACAAAGUACCAUAAACUGGGUGGCUUCUCACAACAGAAAUUUAUUCUCUCACAGUCCUGGAGGAUAUAACGCAAAAUCCCUGGGAGGAUAUAUGCCCCAAAACACGGGUAUCCACAAGAUUGGUUCCUUCUAGAGGUGAAGAACCAUCUGUUCCAUGCCUCCCUCCUGGCUCCUCGUAGCAGUCCUUGGCUUAUAGAGGUGUCCCUCCAGUCUCUCUUCCUGUCUUCACAUGGCCUCUUCCCUGUGUCUGUGUGUCUCUGUUUUUUUUAAGAUUUUAUUUUUAAGUAAUUACACCCCAACGUGGGGCUCAAACUCACAACCCCAAGAUCAAGAGCUGCCUGCUCCACCAACUGAGCCAGCCGGCACCCCAUGUCUCUUAAAAGAGGACGCCAGUCAUAUUGGGUAGGGCCCACCCUCAUCCAGCACAACAUUAUCUCAUAUGAAUCUGCAAAGACCAUAUUUCCAAGUUAAGGUCACAUUCACAGGUUCUAGGGGUUAGGACUUAACAUCUUUUGGGGAAACAGGUUUUGUUUUUUUUUUUAAUUUAUUUGAGAGAGAGAAUGAGAUAGAGAGAGAGAGCAUGAGAGGGGGGAGGGUCAGAGGGAGAAGCAGACCCCCCGCCGAGCAGGGAGCCCGAUGUGGGACUCGAUCCCGGGACUCCAGGAUCAUGACCUGAGCCGAAGGCAGUUGCUUAACCAACUGAGCCACCCAGGCGCCCCUGGGGAAACAGGUUUUUAAAUUCAUUUCUCCAGUUGUUGCAAAUAUAUAUAGCAUAUGGUCGAUUUUUCAUAUAUUGAACUUUGUACCUUGAGAUUGUCAAAAUGAUUUACAAAUUUUCAACUUCAAGAUCACCUAGGAUUUUUUACAUGUAUAAUCACGUCAUCUGCAAAUAAGGACAAUUUCUUCUAAUUUUUCUGUUCUUUAUUCCUUUUAUUAGCUUACUGCACUAGGUAGACCCUCCGGUACAAUGUGGAAUUGCAGUGGUAAGAGUGAGUGCCCUUGCCUUGAUGUAAACCUGAGCAGGCACAGACAGCAUUCAGUAUUUGUCACCAGGUAGAAUGUUAGGUGUAGGGUUUCGGACAUAUAUCUUUAUCAGAUUGAGGAAAUGCCUUCUAUUCCUAGUUUGCUGAGUGUGUUUUCAUGAGUGGACAUUAAAUUUUGUUACAUACUUUUUCUGCUUCUAUUGAGAUGAUCAUGUUUUUUCUGUUAUUCUAGUGAAUUACAUUAGUGGUUUUUUUUUUUUUCUUAAAGAUUUUAUUUAUUUGACAGCACAAGCAGGGGGAGGGGCAGAGGGAGAAGCAGACUCCCCACUGAGCAGAGAGCCCAACAUGGGGCUAGAUUGCAGGACCCGAGGAUAAUGACCUGAGCCGAAGGCAGACGCUUAACCGACUGAGCCACCCAGCGCCCUAGUGCUUUUUUUUUUAAUAGUCAAUCUGUAUCUCUAAUUAAAAUUCUACUUGUAAAUUCUACUUGUCUAUGACUUAUUAUCCUUUUUAUAUCUAAUUGAAUUUGUUUAUAUUUUGUUUAGGAUGUUUGCAUCUGUGUUCAUGAGAGAGAUUUGUCAUUUUCUUGUUUUUCUCAGGUUUUGGUGUCAUAAAAAUGAGUUGGGGAACAUUCCUUCUAUUUGCUGAGUGUAUGUAAGAUUGGUAUAUCUUUCUCAGAUGUUUGGAAGAAUUCACCAGUGAAGUCAUCUGGGCCUAUAAUUUUCUUUGUGAAAAUACUCUUAAUUACAGAUUGUUUACUUAAUGGCUACAGAGCUACUCAGGUUUUCUCUUUCUUCUUGUAUCUGUUUUGGUUAAGUUGUAUUUUUCAAGGAUUUUAUCCGUUUCAUCUGUCAGAUUUAUUAGCUUAAAGUGUUCAUAGUAGUCCUCUUAGAGAUCCAUAGUGAUGUCCCCCUUUUCAUUCCUGCUUAUCAGCAAUUUGUCCCCUGUCUUUUCCUCAUGAGUCUUGUUACUGGUUUGUUGGUGGUGGUGCCAUUUGAAAGAACUCUUGGCUUUGUUGAUUUUUCUGUUUUCUAUCUCAUUGAUUUCUGCUCUUAUAUUCUGUCCUUUCCUUUGAGUUUAAUAUGCAGUUCUUCUCCUAGCUCUUGAGAUGGGCACUCAGAUCACUGAAUUUUAACCUCAUUUUCACUCAGUUCAAAGUAUUUUCUCAUUUCCAUUGUGUUUUUUCCUUUGCCCACAGACCACUUAGAAGUGUGUUGAGAAUUUGGAUUUAUCUGUUACUGAGUUGUGGUUUAAUCUCACCACGGUCAGAGAACAUAAGUUCAGUGAUUCGGUUCUUUGGAAUAUGUUGUGACUUGAUUUAUGCCCCACAGAUUUGUCUCUGUUGGUAAGUGUUCCACGUAGAGCUGAGAAGAAUUCUAGUUGGCUUUUGUUGGGUGUAAUGUUUGCCAUAUGCAAAGGAGGCCAAAUUGGUUAAGUAUUUUGGUUAAAUCUUUAGUAUCCCUGCUCUUCUCUGAGAGGUGUGUUAAAAUCUUCAGCUAUGAUUGUGCAUUUAUCCAGGUCUCCUUUUCAUUUAUAUAUUUUGAAACCAUGUCAUUCAUGGCUUCAUCCACUCCCUCAUUAUCUUGGCCAGUGUUGACAGGGUGUGUCUUUUUCUAUCCUUUUCUCUGUUUUUAUAUUUAAAGUAUGCCUCUGCUAACGAGCACAUACGUGAGAGUUUAUUUUCACCCAGGCUGAUAAUCAUGAUCUUUCGGUCAGUAUUUGAUCCCCUUAUCUUUAAGUUAAUUACUGAUAGAGUUGGGUUUAAGUAUACCAUCUUGCCAUCUAUUUUCUGUGUGUCUCAUCUCUUCCUUAUUCCUUUAGUUUUCCUAACUUGUCUUGCUUUGGAUUAAUAAAAACAUUGUUCACUUUUUAGUUAAAUAUUUGUAUUACUAUUUUAGUGGUUACUCUAGAAAUUAUGCUUCCCUACUGAAUUACAGUCCACCUUAAAUCAAUGCAAAAACUCCUGUGUAAGUUCAUUAAAUACUCCCCACACACACACACCUAGAAAGCUCUCGUGGCCACAUGUUUGCAUGUUUUAAAGCCCUCAAAAGGACUUAGUCAGUAAUCCUUAUCUAUCCACGCCCAUCUUCUUCACUCCUUUCUAUAUUUGUUUUUAUCCAGAAUCACUUCCCUUCAGCUGGAAUAAUUUCUAUAGUACAAAUUUCUUGUAGUAGAGUCUGUUGGAUAUAAAUAUCAUUACCUUGUAUUUAUCUGAAAACACCUUCAUGCUGCCUUUAUUUUUCCUACAUCUAAUUUUUUUUUUUUCUUAAGAUUUUAUUUUUAAGCUUAAACUCACAACCCCGAGAUCGGGAGUUGUAUGCUCUACCGACUGAGCCAGCCAGGUGCCCGUCUAGUAUUUUCUCUUGCAUAUUGCAUUUGUGGUUAGUACAGUGUAAGGUCUGAGAUUCUGCCCGUCUCUAAAAAAAAGUUGAUUCUUGUUCCAAUAGGCAGGUGAUUUGUUGGUUGAUUACCUGGGACUCGUAUGCCUUUUUAGAGCAAGGGCUAUUUCCAUUUUGUCCCAGGAUGUCAACUUUACUCUUGAGGCCUGGCCCUUCUAGGGUUUCAAAGGAAAACCUGAAGUGUUUACUAAGCCCUUCUAACCUUGAGGGACCCAGAUUCAAAGCUGUUACCCUGUAAUACUCAGCCAUGGGGAUGCCUGCUAAGCUCUGUUUUCCAUCUGCUCUUCUCACCCCAGAAUCAUUGGGGUCUUGCUCGAAGCAUGCACAAUUUGGGGGUCAGCCAAGGAUGUGAGGGUUCCCCCUUUUGUGGCUACCUUCUCUCUGGGAUGUCCC